ensembl:lncRNA
GUUCGUCCAGCCGCACCUCAGACCUUUUCUGCUUUAAACUGAGAUCCUCUGCGGGUUACCCUUCUGAAGCCUCCAUCGCAGCUGGGCUGUUUGAUGACGAUUUGGACUCCUCUGGGUGAUGAGGACACACCCACAUCUGUUCCAUACUGCAGCCAUGGAUGGUGUUACAGCUCUGAGUCCGCUUUGGGCCAUCAGAUGCACACACUGGAAAACCAGCGCCUGUACUUCAUGCAGGAGAGAUGACCUCAGUGAUAAUUCAUCAGCAGCUGUGAAGAGAUGUAUUUGAAUAUCUUCUGGUUCCACUUUUCUUAACCUGGAAGCUGAGGAUGGCUAAUUCCUGACAAGGACACACACCUCAGCGCUUAUCAUGGGUGUUACAUCCUCUGCGCAGCAAUUCCAGAGAAAACGAGAGAGCAACGACCACACAUUAAGACCAGACAGAAAUCUGUCCCUUUCUGGCAGCUGUGGAAACUUCCAAUAAGAAAGUUUGCAUUCUUAGAACAAUGCUGGGUCAUGUGUGAUGUGUCAUUAUAUGAGGAUAUUACAUUUUAACUUAAUUCUGCUCAAUUAAGUGUUUUGUUCGUUGAUCCAAUAUGGCAGCUUUUAUUGUGCUCCAAGUUAAAACUCAUUGUCCUCAUGAGCACAGCAUCUAACAACUCUCCUUAAAAA